CAGUAGCCGCGGUAAUACGAAGGGUGCAAGCGUUACUCGGAAUUACUGGGCGUAAAGCGUGCGUAGGUGGUGGUUUAAGUCCGUUGUGAAAGCCCUGGGCUCAACCUGGGAAUUGCAGUGGAUACUGGGUCACUAGAGUGUGGUAGAGGAUAGUGGAAUUUCCGGUGUAGCAGUGAAAUGCGUAGAGAUCGGAAGGAACAUCUGUGGCGAAGGCGACUAUCUGGGCCAACACUGACACUAAGGCACGAAAGCGUGGGGAGCAAACAGGAUUAGAUACCCGGUAGUCCCUGUCUCUUAUACA
rnacentral:rRNA from 1 species